AUGACGGUUGGACCAGAUGGUUUUGGAGGUCUUUUCCAACCUUAAUGAUUCUGUGAUUCUGUGGCCUGAGGGGCUGAGGUCCUGACAGCUUCAUGGAGCAGAAGGAGCGAAGUCAAUGACAGUGCCUUAAGGGAACUGGGUUUCUCUGGUAUCUCUCCAAAUUCGAUGUAGGUAGUGGCAACUGAACUUGCUAGAGCUAACAGUUUCACCACGUCAGCUGGUCUAUAUGAGCAGAGCUUUGUCCUGUGACGGGUGUUUUGUCUUACCCAGAACAGGAAGAGAACUGGCAUGGAGGGAUGGCUGAUUGUGGCUGAAGAAAAGGGACUUUCAUUACUGUAAAGCAAUUUUGCUUACGCCAGAUGAGAUCACCAAUGGACAGGAGCGAGGGUGCUCAGCUCUUGCUGAAGGUAAGGCUAGCUGCUGUCCUGU
rnacentral:lncRNA from 1 species